AAGCUCGAGAUAGUGGACAAAAUCCGCAUGUUCAAUCCUAGUUCGCUGAAGGAGGCCAUCAGAUUGGCCUACAUGAAAGAAGUGUAACUGGGUCAUCAGUAAAAUCGGUUCGGGUGUAACCUGAUAUCCAACUCGCCUGGCAACCCAUUUUCCCCGAUGCAACAAACCCUAGCCCCUGAUAGCACACGGCCGAAAUGUUGCUCUUGAGGCAAAAUGCAACGUCAACGCGCCCAAGGCCUCUGAUGCCACAAAUGCUGCUGGUCUCAACUGUUGAUUCUGGAAGCGAAUGAUGAAGAAGAUGAAAUAAAAAAAAGAAUAAAAUGCAUUUGAAAUCUCCAUCCAUGCCAUCCCUGGAUGGCCGACAUCACUCACCAUGCGAGUCGUUGCUACCAUCAGAGGCCACGAAGUGACAAUCCUUAUCGACAGCGGCUCCACUUACAAUUUCAUCAGUGAGCGGGUAGUUGAUUUGCUCCGCUUUCCAACCAAACCAACCUCUCCUUUCUCUGUCAAGGUUGCAGACGACCGACCCCUCUAAUGUCAAGGACAAUUGGAGGACAUGCUGAUCAUGAUCCAAGGCGGACUCUGUGCGGAUUAGGCACCCCAUCCAUCCAGCUUGCUGUUGAUUGUGAGAUCAUCCAUGAGAUAAACCGGAUGCAUACUGUGUGCGCCAUUUAUUGAUUAGCAAGGGGUCAAUCUGGGGAUGACAAAGACACAAUUACAAGAAUGGAAAA